GACAGAGGGUGCAAACGUUGUUCGGAAUUACUGGGCGUAAAGCGCGUGUAGGCGGCUGGUCAAGCGUGGUGUGAAAUCUCCGGGCUCAACCCGGAAACUGCAUUGCGAACUGACCUAGCUGGAGUGCAGGGGAGGGCAGCGGAAUUCCCGGUGUAGCGGUGAAAUGCGUAGAUAUCGGGAAGAACACCAGUGGCGAAGGCGGCUGCCUGGCCUGUAACUGACGCUGAGACGCGAAAGCGUGGGGAGCGAACCGGGA
rnacentral:rRNA from 1 species